AAUCCCUUCCUCUUUAUCCUUUGAAUGGAGAAUAGAGGAACAUUAACCACAGCGACGCCAGUAAUGGUGUUGUUGUAUAAUUAUAUAUGUGUGUAUGUGUAGUCUAAAAUUGUGUAAAAUAAUUAAAUUUGACAACUUUUAACAAUGGAUCUCUAGGCUCUUGUAGCGAUGAAGAACGCAGUAAAGUGCGAAAAGUGAUGCGAUUUGCACGAAUCUGUGAGUCAUCUAGUUUUUGAACGCAAAUGGCACUCUUAUGCAAGUAAGAGUAUGUCUGUUUGAGAAUCCCUAAACCGAUCAACACCCGUGGGUGUAUGGCAUUGCUAUUCUACUUUUACACCUACUUUGGGGAUAGGUAGUCUAGUUGAAUUCAUUACGGUUGUUGGACCAGCUCCAAAUGUGCUACAAGACAGUCGUCUUUUGUCAUUUGGCGCAGAGCGCCCAGCUAAAGCAGCCUCUUAUACUCCAAUAGGAUCUCAAAUUAGGCAAGAUUACCCGCUGAACUUAAGCAUAUCAAUAAGCGGAGGA
rnacentral:rRNA from 1 species